UACGUAGGGUGCAAGCGUUAAUCGGAAUUACUGGGCGUAAAGCGUGCGCAGGCGGUUCGUUAAGACAGAUGUGAAAUCCCCGGGCUUAACCUGGGAACUGCAUUUGUGACUGGCGAGCUAGAGUAUGGCAGAGGGGGGUAGAAUUCCACGUGUAGCAGUGAAAUGCGUAGAGAUGUGGGAGGAAUACCGAUGGCGAAGGCAGCCCCCUGGGCCAAUACUGACGCUCAUGCACGAAAGCGUGGGGAGCAAACAGG
rnacentral:rRNA from 1 species